rnacentral:rRNA from 1 species
AGAGUUUGAUCAUGGCUCAGAUUGAACGCUGGCGGUAUGCUUAACACAUGCAAGUCGAACGGCAGCACGAGGAGCUUGCUCCUUGGUGGCGAGUGGCGGACGGGUGAGUAACGCGUAGGAAUCUACCUUAUAGUGGGGGACAACCCGAGGAAACUCAGGCUAAUACCGCAUAAUCUCUACGGAGCAAAGCGGGGGAUCUUUCGAGACCUCGUGCUAUAAGAUGAGCCUGCGUCGGAUUAGCUUGUUGGUGGGGUAAAGGCCUACCAAGGCGACGAUCCGUAGCUGGUCUGAGAGGACGAUCAGCCACACUGGGACUGAGACACGGCCCAGACUCCUACGGGAGGCAGCAGUGGGGAAUAUUGGACAAUGGGCGAAAGCCUGAUCCAGCAAUACCGCGUGUGUGAAGAAGGCCUUAGGGUUGUAAAGCACUUUCAGUAGGGAAGAAAUACUUAAGGCCAAUACCCUUAAGGGUUGACGUUACCUACAGAAGAAGCACUGGCUAACUCUGUGCCAGCAGCCGCGGUAAUACAGAGAGUGCAAGCGUUAAUCGGAAUUACUGGGCGUAAAGCGCACGUAGGUGGAUAUUUAAGUCGGUUGUGAAAGCCCUGGGCUUAACCUGGGAAUUGCAUUCGAUACUGAGUAUCUAGAGUAUGGUAGAGGGAAGUGGA